rnacentral:lncRNA from 1 species
UCGAAAAAUGCCGCACCGAGGGAGCGGGCGGUGUCGGAGUAGUCGGUGCGCGAGUAGGCGAGUAUUUCAUGGCCUUGGGCGGCGAAGGUGCGGGCAAGGAACUGGCCGAAGUUGCCGAAGCCGAUGACGGCGAUCUUGAGCUUGGUGCGGCGGUCGAGGAGCUUAAGUGGCUGCGGCUCGAUAUCAAGAACAGGGGCGGCCUCACGGGCUUGGAUGGUCAUGGCCGAACGGCGGAGAACGGGGAUGGUAAUGGCACCGCCGGCAGAGACGUGGCGGUACCGGAGAGGGGCAACGCGAAUGUGGGAAGAGGUGGGGAGGAGGGUGGUGUUUGAGGGGAGGACACCGGAGAGCAGCAUUUGCGUGACACAAAGGUUAGACCGGAAGACAAGACCAGUAGGCGGCCACCUCCUGAUGCACUCUGUUUUCGUAUUCGUUUUCGUUGUUUGGCUACGUUUUGCUCAGAGUUGGCUAUAUAAAAGCACCAAAGCUUUAAGGCGAGAGUUGGGUGCAUGUGAUUCAUGUGGGUAUGAUGGAGUGCCUCGAGAUUCGGAGAUCCUUUCGCUGAUUCCCUUGCUUUAUUUCCCUUCUCUCUCUCACUCUCUCUCUUAUAUAUAUAUAUAUAUAUAUAUAUAUAUAUAUAUAUAUAUAUANNNNNNNNNNNNNNNNNNNNGCACAAAGAAUAUUAGGCAAAUUUCUCAAACAAAAUCUCCUAUUUUACUUUUUUUCUUAUUAACAUUCCUUUUUCAUUCAUUCUAAUGGUGUACCUUUUGUUUUCUAAAUGAUGAAAUUGUCCCUACCUAGCUAGCGGUUGCCUCCAUCCUUUAUCUUUGCCCUACUACCCUUGCCUCACCUACUCUUUUCUUUUAUUGCUUUUGUCAAUUGUUGUCUUUUUAUCUCUUGUCAUCAUCCAUUGUGUUACCUUCUUCAUGCCUUACUCACCCAUGUGCUCUCAUUAUUUUUCUCACUUAUGUACCUUCAAUAUCAACCUUUCUCUUGUACCCUCACCAUCGUCCUUGCCCACACACCUCACUCUCGUCGUCAUGCACUCAAAAUCAAAAAUAAAGAUAGCUUUUGGCUUCCAUGAGAGUGUCAAACAAAGGCAAUAAGGCAGUACAAUCCUCCACAAUAGAGCUUUGGAUGUAGAGGGUGAGAUGCCUCGUCGGCGACCCUUGAGAGGAGAAGGACGAGUGCAUAAUAAAGUGAGGGGCGACUAGAACUCGACAAUUGAUAUGAAAGUGGACAACAUAAUUGUGAGCGACGGUGUGUAUCCAAGAGUAGAGAACGUGCAGUUGAGGCGAGGUGAAGGUGGCCACGACGAAGGGCAUAGGUGGUAGGGUAAAAGCGACAAUCGAUGAAAACUAGGAGUAAUUUUAUCGCGCUCCUAGGAGAAUAAAUGGGAAAAUGGUAUAGUAAUAAAAAAAAUAAAAAUAAGAAGGUUUUCGAGAAAUUUAUCUAAAAAUAUUUCAUAAAUAAUUCUAUGACCGAUAGUCCUAUUUAGCAGUUGGAUCUCAAAUCUUUCACCUUGAUUAGUUGAUCAAAGAAUAUAGGAACUCGUUUAAGAAUAUUUAGUUUAUAACCGUGGCGAGAGGAUGAUGAAAAAUUAACUGGACCAAUAUGAAAUCUAUUUUUUCAUUUCCAUAGAGAGACAGGUGAAAAGUAAUCGUGUUUAGUGAUACCCAAUGAUUCAAUUAUGAUAAUUCGUUACUAACUUAGGGUAAAGUAAUUUUUAUAUAAUCUCAUUUUACUUCCAAUUUAGCUGAAUCCAAGUUCCAAGAAGGUACAAUGACAGUAUGCUAUAUCAUACGUUGGCAUAACUCUAAAUACUUCAAGUACUAGUAAUUGGAAAAGGCAAAACGACAAAAAACAAGACUAAAUCAUCUUUAACCAAGAAAAGUAGGCACAAGUACGGAACAAACCAAUGAUUGAGAGAGAGGUCGAACCACUUGAUUAGGUGAGCUGCCUCUUUACGCGGCAACGAGGAACCAAACCAUAUGGCAGAGGAUAAAAUGUAAACGCGGGCGGCGAGCGGAAAUCGCGUGGGAUGGAUGGAUGGAUGGAUGCCAAACAACGCGGUGCAAUAAUUGGUACCAUAUGUCGGGAACGGGUACAAUAAUUGGUGCCAUAUGUCGGGUGAGCACUCUACGUGGCCUUGUGGUGGUGCUGUGCGACUCCAAUUGGCGCGGAGGGGUGGGCUCCACGCAUCGCCUUCUCAACCACUGUUCCGUGUAUCCGCGUGGUUGGAUUAUACAGCAGUGUGGUUGAAUUAUUGCACGUUGCGUGCAAUAAUUCACAUUAGAUCUCGUCACCGUUAUUGGAUUUUAACGAGAGAUGGGUGACCCAACGAAUGUUCUUUUGGGCGGUAGCCGAAGGAGUUGUAUUGCGAUGAGAUGCAUAAAUUGUGAAUGGGUGACGUAUUUAGGUUAUCAUGUGAAAAAUGAUAUGAUGAAGUUGAUCCGAUUUGAUUAGUUUUCGAGUACUUUCAUAUUUUAAGAACGAAAAGAAUAUAUCUUAGGGCAUUCGAUAGUUACUACUGAUCUAAUGAUAAAAAAAAAGAAAAUUAUAUUCUAUUUUGAAUCGUUGCUUACAGAAACUACACUAAUGUGUCUCUUAAAAUUACUUGCAAUGGUUGAGUUAGCAACCUUCGUUCAAUCUUAAUUUUAGUUAUGGGUGUUCAAAUCGAAUCAAAAAAUUAAAUUAAACCUAAAUCAAGCCGAUUCGAUUCAUUAAUAAUUUAGUUUUGAAGACUAUAAAUGAUUCUAGUUUUGAAGUACUCUUCUUUAAUUUUGUUUAAUCGAUUCAAAUCGAAUCGAAUUAAUCUUAAUUUAAAAAAUAUCAACUCAAUCCAAAUCCUUCAAAAACUCUAAAAUAUGUUCUUAAAAUGAACGAGUUCAUGGCUCUUUCUCAUCGUCCUUUCUUACUUUUUUUUUUUGGUCUCAAGUAUGAACUCUAUUUUUUAUUAAUAAUCUCUUUAAUGAUUUGUAUGAUUUUUUAAUUUAUAUAUAUCACUACAUAUUUUAAUUAUUAAGAAAAAAAAGGAUUGUAUGUGAAAUCAUUAUUUCUCUUGGGUAUUUUUUAAUAAAAAAAUUUAAAAAAAACUACUUAAGCAUAGGUUCAGUUAUUUAGAAUGUUUAGAAUGAUAUUUUGAUAUAAAUUUUUUGAGAAUAUAGGUCCAAUUAGAUUAAAAUUUUGAUUUGGUUCAAUUAAACUAAACCGAGUCACCAAAUCAAAUCGAUUCAUUUAAAAAAUAUUUUUUUUUAAAUUACAUAAAUUAAAAAUCGAUUAAUCGAUUAACCAAAUCAGAUUAAUCGAUUCGGUUAGGUAGGUCCGAAAUGAUUUUAAGUCGGAGCAAAUCGAAUUAUAUUUUCGAUUUGACCUUUAAUGAUUAUGUUCAACCUCUCUUAACAUCUCUAAUUUUAGUAUGUUUGAAAUAAAAGGAGCUUUCAUGUAGAGAGUAUUUGUUUUCUAAUCUCAUUGAUUUGAUAAAAUCAAGUGUAUUAACAAGGAAAUGUUUUCCUUAUAUAUCAUGCUAACAAGCGUGUUUGUUUAACAUUCGAGUCCACUUUAAUCCAAAUUACUAAAACGAAUUAGUAUCAACCUAUUCAGCUUCCAUCCAAAUCGAAAUAGAAUUAUAAUCUAAUUGAUUAAUAAUGAUGUUUGAAUAUUCUUAAUCAGUUAAUCAUUGUUCGCUAUUUUUCUUUUAGGUUUUCUUUUUCGUUAGUUUCUAAAUAGAGUCGUGAUAUAUAUUUGUUUUGAGACUAUUGCAAAGUUAGAUGAAUGAAUGUGGAUGUUAUAUGUCUCUUUCGAUGAAUGUCAUAAUAUUUGGGUCCAUACGUGAGCGUACGAUUCUUCUCCGUAAGUUUUUCCGAUUCAAAAUAGAAUUAUAAUCUAAUUGAUUAGUUAAACUUGUAAUAGACCAAUCAAACUUUAUAUGAAUUAUAAUGAAAAAUAUCGAUGAAUUAUAAUCAAAUUUUAUUGAGUGUGACUACUGACCUAAUGACAAGACGCGGUCAUCAUGUUUAGAUAGUGAUGUUUGAAUAUUCUUAAUCAGGUAAUCAUUGUUCGCUAUUUUUCUGUGGUUUUCUUUCCAUUAGUUUCCAAACUGAAUGAAUGUGUUGAGACUAUUGCACAUUUAGAUGAAUGAAUGAAUGAAUGUGGAUGGUUUACGUCUCUAUCGAUGAAUCUCGUAUUUGGGUCCACACGCGUGAGCGUACAAGUCAGUCUUUUACUUAUGUUCUUUCUAAUAAAAAGCAAUAUCAAUAACUCGAAACAUAUUAUUCUAUCCAUAUAAAUAAGGUUAAUUAUAUUUGAUUUUUAGAUUUAAAAAAUUUAUAUUAUAACAAAUAUGGAGGUCUAUUUAUCCUAACGUUAUCGAUUUUAUUGAUAAAAAUAUAAAAAUAAUAAACAAAAAGAUAUUUUUAACGUUCCAAUUAGUAAUGGUAGAUGUCAUCAGUGGUAGCGAACGACGACAUUACUAAGGGCCAUGAGUGAUUGUUGUAGAUAAGAAAAGCAGUAACGAAAGAUUAAAGUCACUAUGCAUUUGCAUUAACGCCGAUGUAGUGAGUGAUACUCAUCUUUUGUAAUCACUCUCCUUAUCUACAAUAACCACUCGCGGCUCCUAAUAGCUCUCUCGUCUGUCACUAAUUGAAAUAUUAAAAUUAUUUUUUUAUCUAUCAUUUUUUUAUUAUUUUUAAUAAAGUCAUACAUAUACGUGCCACUUUUAUAACUAUAGAGAUUUCAAUUUAGAAUUUCAAUAUAAAAUUUUUAAGUAUAGGAACUAAGGAGGUUGAACUAUAAAAAAGAAAUUAUAAUUAGCCCUAACACAUACUUAAGCGAAAUUAUGAUAACGUUGUUUAUCUCGUACGGUUACCAUACGAUACGUUCACUGCCCAAAUCUAGAUUUGACCUUCUCAUGUUACAUCCGAACCUUUCCAUGUGCAAACUGCGAUACUUUAUUGAACAGGCAAGAGAUGGAUAGAACUGUACAAACGUGCAGGAAAAAGAUAAGAUUCAAUGGGUUAACAUUAGGGAUAUAAAAACCAUUAAUUGCGAAUAUAGAAUGCCAACUUGUUUCUUGCAUGUUCAUUCACCACAGAGCUUUGUUUUCUAACUUAUUAUAAUUGACUAAUUACUUUCGAUUUCUGAAACAAUAAAUGCUUGAAGAGUAAUAAAGUAAUUCCAAGUGGAAAAAAAAAACAUAUUAGAGUUGGGUUAUUCGAUAAAAAAAUAUAUUUUAAUCGAGAGAAUUUUAUUAUUUGACAUUUAUGUCAUAUGGCUGAUAUUUUAAAUUAUUAUUCUGAUAGUAGAGAGAGAGAGAGAGAGAGAGAGAGUCUCUUUUCAUCCCACAACUAUGAAUAAGCUUUGGUACUUCAUCACUGAUUGAUACAUGUUUGCAGGACGAUGCGACUGCUGUAAAGCCACCAACGAGACAGUGAGAGAAUUUAUUUUGUGUUGUUAACAUAUUAUUACAUGGAUGAAUCACUGCCAACAAUGAAAGAAGCAGUUUAUUGUACACACAAAAGCGAUUAGGUGGAACAGGAGAUGAUCCUUUUCCUGUCUUUCUAGAUCUCUGCACUCUCCAUGUUAAGAGACCAUCGAAUCGAUGGUGGUGCUUCAGUUGUCCCCGCCGGCGAAUUUUCUAGCUGAGCCCUCGAACAGCUGCUUCCUGAAUAUGCCAUGCAAGCGCUCAAAUAGCUCCUUCUUCGUGGUGUCCAAGGCGCCGUUCAGCUUCUCGAUCAGCUCGGUGGAGUUCUUGUUGUAUAUGAACAGCCCAUUGUAGAGCUCGUAGCUGUCGCUGCAGGUGUUCUGCACCAGAUUUAGUAGGGUCUCGUAACCUUUGGUGUUGAUGGGCGUGGACUUGAGGUCCAGCUUCGCGAGCACCCUGCCGAUGGUGUGCGUCAAGAACUGGAUCUCUGCCGCCGUCUCGUCGUGCUCCGCGCACGACAUCUCGACCAUCCGGCAGCCCUCCCGAUCGAAGAUCUCGAGGAACGCGCGGCACCGCUCGACCCGGUCGUCGGAGUCACCGAUCCGGACUUUGUCGUAGGCGAACGGGAGCCCGGCCCAGCCGUGCUUGCCGCUGUCGGGGCCGAACAUGGGAUGCGUGCACAGGAUGUCGAAGUCCGGGGGAAGCAGCUGGAGGAAGAGGUUUUUGGGGAACUCUUUGACGGAGAGGACGUCGACGAACAGCGUGCUGCGGCGGAGACGCUGGAUGGGCAGAGACCGGAGCACGGCCUCGGCGGAGAGGAUGGAGGUGGAGAGGAGGACGACGUCGGGCUGUUGCUCGCAGAGGUCGUUCUGGUCGUCGAAAAAUGCCACACCGAGGGAGCGGGCGGUGUCGGAGUAAUCGGUGCGCGAGUAGGCGAGUAUCUCAUGGCCUUGGGCGGCGAAGGUGCGGGCAAGGAACUGGCCGAAGUUGCCGAAGCCGAUGACGGCGAUCUUGAGCUUGGUGCGGCGGUCGAGGAGCUUAAGCGGCUGCGGCUCGACAUCAAGAACAGGGGCGGAGUCCCGGGCUCGGAUGGUCAUGGCAAAACUGCGGCGAACAGGGACGGUAAUGGCACCGCCUCCGGCAGGGACGUGGCGGUACCGGAGAGGGGCUGCGCGAGCAUGGGAAGAGGCG